UACGUAGGGAGCAAGCGUUGUCCGGAAUCAUUGGGCGUAAAGAGCGUGUAGGCGGCCAAGCAGGUCCGUUGUGAAAACUGGAGGCUUAACCUCCAGACGUCGACGGAAACCGCGUGGCUAGAGUCCGGAAGAGGAGAGUGGAAUUCCUGGUGUAGCGGUGAAAUGCGCAGAUAUCAGGAAGAACACCAAUGGCGAAGGCAGCUCUCUGGGACGGUACUGACGCUGAGACGCGAAAGCGUGGGGAGCGAACAGG
rnacentral:rRNA from 1 species